UGAUACCAAAAAGGAUACAAUGAGGCC
rnacentral:piRNA from 1 species